GACGAACCGUGCGAACGUUGUUCGGAAUCACUGGGCUUAAAGGGCGCGUAGGCGGGCCGAAAAGUCAGGGGUGAAAUCCUCCAGCUUAACUGGAGAACUGCCUUUGAUACUGGCGGUCUGGAGUAAGGUAGGGGCAUGCGGAACUGAUGGUGGAGCGGUGAAAUGUGUUGAUAUCAUCAGGAACUCCGGUAGCGAAAGCGGCGUGCUGGACCUUUACUGACGCUGAGGCGCGAAAGCCAGGGGAGCAAACGGG
rnacentral:rRNA from 1 species